rnacentral:rRNA from 1 species
AGCGAACGCUGGCGGCAGGCUUAACACAUGCAAGUCGAGCGGGCGUAGCAAUACGUCAGCGGCAGACGGGUGAGUAACGCGUGGGAACGUGCCCUUUGGUUCGGAACAACACAGGGAAACUUGUGCUAAUACCGAAUAAGCCCUUACGGGGAAAGAUUUAUCGCCGAAGGAUCGGCCCGCGUCUGAUUAGCUUGUUGGUGAGGUAACGGCUCACCAGGGCUACGAUCGGUAGCUGGUCUGAGAGGAUGAUCAGCCACACUGGGACUGAGACACGGCCCAGACUCCUACGGGAGGCAGCAGUGGGGAAUAUUGGACAAUGGGGGCAACCCUGAUCCAGCCAUGCCGCGUGAGUGAUGAAGGCCCUAGGGUUGUAAAGCUCUUUCGGCGGGGAAGAUAAUGACGGUACCCGCAUAAGAAGCCCCGGCUAACUUCGUGCCAGCCGCCGCGGUAA